GUGUCAGCAGCCGCGGUAAUACUGAGGGUGCGAGCGUUAAUCGGAAUUACUGGGCGUAAAGCGAGUGUAGGCGGUUACCUAAGUCGGAUGUGAAAGCCCCGGGCUUAACCUGGGAAUUGCAUUCGAUACUGGGUGACUGGAGUUUGGUAGAGGUAAGUGGAAUUCCGGGUGUAGCGGUGAAAUGCGUAGAUAUCCGGAGGAACAUCAGUGGCGAAGGCGGCUUACUGGACCAAAACUGACGCUGAGGCUCGAAAGCGUGGGUAGCAAACAGGAUUAGAAACCCCUGUAGUCC
rnacentral:rRNA from 1 species